UACGGAGGGUGCGAGCGUUAUCCGGAAUCACUGGGUUUAAAGGGUGCGUAGGCGGUCUGAUAAGUCAGUUGUGAAAUUCCUCGGCUUAACCGAGUGGACUGCGAUUGAUACUGUCAGACUUGGAAUCAGGUUGAGGUAGGCGGAAUGUGACAUGUAGCAGUGAAAUGCUUAGAUAUGUCAUAGAACACCGAUUGCGAAGGCAGCUUGCUGGGCUUAGAUUGACGCUGAGGCACGAAAGCGUGGGGAGCAAACAGG
rnacentral:rRNA from 1 species